UACGGGGGGGGCAAGCGUUGUUCGGAAUUAUUGGGCGUAAAGGGCUCGUAGGCGGUCUGUCACGUCGGGAGUGAAAACUCAGGGCUUAACCCUGAGCCUGCUUCCGAUACGGGCUGACUAGAGGUAUGCAGGGGAGAACGGAAUUCCUGGUGUAGCGGUGAAAUGCGCAGAUAUCAGAAGGAACACCAGUGGCGAAGGCGACUAUCUGGGUAAUACUGACGCUGAGGGACGAAGGCAUGGGGAGCAAAUGGG
rnacentral:rRNA from 1 species